rnacentral:lncRNA from 1 species
UUCUGGGGUUUCAACUCCCAACCUUAUUUUCUUCCUCUCUUUUAUUGAUCACACAUACUCAAGAUGGAUGUGGUCUUUUCAAUUGUCAUAUUAUCUUUUUAUCAUCUUUUACACAACUUUCGCAUUUCUAAUUCCUUUUUCACUGCACCCAACAUUUUAUUCUUUUCUUUUAUUCUUUCUCUCUUCAUACUUAUUUUGUAUCACACACCCCUAUGAUAGCCACCC